rnacentral:tRNA from 1 species
GGCCUGGUGGCUCAGUUGGUUGGAGCAUCUCCCCGUACAUCAAAAGGUCUCGGGUUCAAUUCCCGGUCAGGGCA